AUACCUUUUUUGGCCUUUUGGCUAAGAUCAUGUGCAGUAUUUGUUCUUAUAAGUUUAAUAUUUGAUAUGUGGACCAUUAAUCCACACGAUAUUAAAUUAAAUUUUUUUUUUACGGGAAAGACUCACAACAAUAGCAUGAACCCAUUCUGAAACCCGCGACCUCAACGGGAUAUGGGUUAGAGAGAGAUGCUCCUCCUUCUCUCUAACCUUUUGCUG
rnacentral:snRNA from 1 species